rnacentral:lncRNA from 10 species
AAGAGAUGCAAAGGAUUAAUCAUGAACCCAGUUGCCCAGAGGUGGAAAAAAAAAUCUGUUGUGGUAGACUGAAGAAGCAAGAAGUUAUAUGGCAAAUACUUGCAACAACUGGAAAAAAACAGAAGAGGGAAAGAAAGAAGUAAAAUCUCCCACCAAGUUUAUCAACCCAGAGCCACAGCUACUGUUUUGUAAUCUCCAGGCGACUAUAUAUCUAGGCUAUGAAUCCACAUCUUUUUCACCCAACUCACUAUUCAAGAUUUAUGUGAUUCAGGGUAUUAAAUGCUAAUAUAUUUCUGUUGCUCAAAUUUUUAAUGUACGCAUUAGUUCUGAAGUCCAUAAGCUGGUUAAUAUUCACAUUCUGGCUAACGCAUAGUGUUGAAUUUGUACCUUCUAAGAAUUAUUUUAGACUACAAGUUGGGGAUAUGAUACCCACAGGCAAGCAAAAUGUAAUGGGGAGCUUAGUAACUUAUAAGAAAUCUUAUCACUCUAACAAUAACAAACACAAAUAAUAGGAUAAUUAACAUAUUUUUUACAGUUCAUACAACACAGUCAUAUAUAAUACUUUGAUUUUCAUGAAAUAGGUAGAUCAGGUAUUACUAUCAUCUCCAUUUUUAGCUGGAUAGACUAAGGUUGGUCAAAACCAUUAAAUGACUUGGGAACAUAUCCUUGCUCACUGUUUCCAGAGCCCUCUGUCUGUAACACUCACUUGUGUCUGAUUACUUGACACGUGUCUUCCUCUCUAAGUUUCAUGGAAACGUGGUCCUAGCACAGCAUCUGAUGUGCAGUAUGUGCUCCAUAACCAUUUGUUGAAUUGAAUUGAUCAAGUUCCCACAACUAGUGAGGCAUGGAGACAUGAUGUCAGAUGUCCAUGUCACUUGUUCUUUUAAAGCCUUAGCUGUGUUUUAUUUACCUAUUGUUACUGUUGGCUCAUAAAAAUUAGAAGAAGAAGAUGCCAAGUGAGACAGGUAGACUGGGAAUGUUUAUUUCUAUACCAUAAAAUAUUUAUUUUUAUACCUAAAACCACCUGUGUGAAACAGCACUUUGGCAUAUGGCUUAGUGAUCAUAUGGCUUUAUGGCCAGAUAGCUCAGUGGUUGCAUAGCCCAGUGGUCAUAAGCCUCAGGGGUCAUAUGUCU